GUGUCAGCAGCCGCGGUAAUACGUAGGGCCCGAGCGUUAUCCGGAUUUAUUGGGCGUAAAGAGCAUGUAGGUGGAUCUUUAAGUCGAACUUCAAAGUCCGAGGCUUAACUUCGGUUCUGGGUUUGAUACUGAAGAUCUUUGAGAUUAACAGGGGUAAGCGGAACUCCCGGUGUAGCAGUGAAAUGCGUUGAUAUCGGGAAGAACACCAAUGGCGAAGGCAGCUUACUAGGUUAUUCUGACACUGAGAUGCGAAAGCGUGGGGAGCGAACGGGAUUAGAUACCCCGGUAGUCCACGCCGUAAACGAUGCAUACUAGCUAUCAGAAGUAUCGACCCUUCUUGUAGCGAAGCUAACGCGUUAAGUAUGCCGCCUGGGAAGUACGGUCGCAAGACUAAA
rnacentral:rRNA from 1 species